rnacentral:rRNA from 1 species
GAACCAGUACCGUGAGGGAAAGGUGAAAAGCACCCCGGAAGGGGAGUGAAAUAGAACCUGAAACCGUGUGCUUACAAGUAGUCAGAGCCCGUUAAUGGGUGAUGGCGUGCCUUUUGUAGAAUGAACCGGCGAGUUACGAUUUGAUGCAAGGUUAAGCAGUAAAUGUGGAGCCGUAGCGAAAGCGAGUCUGAAUAGGGCGUUUAGUAUUUGGUCGUAGACCCGAAACCAGGUGAUCUACCCUUGGUCAGGUUGAAGUUCAGGUAACACUGAAUGGAGGACCGAACCGACUUACGUUGAAAAGUGAGCGGAUGAACUGAGGGUAGCGGAGAAAUUCCAAUCGAACCUGGAGAUAGCUGGUUCUCUCCGAAAUAGCUUUAGGGCUAGCCUCAAGUGAUGAUUAUUGGAGGUAGAGCACUGUUUGGACGAGGGGCCCCUCUCGGGUUACCGAAUUCAGACAAACUCCGAAUGCCAAUUAAUUUAACUUGGGAGUCAGAACAUGGGUGAUAAGGUCCGUGUUCGAAAGGGAAACAGCCCAGACCACCAGCUAAGGUCCCAAAAUAUAUGUUAAGUGGAAAAGGAUGUGGCGUUGCCCAGACAACUAGGAUGUUGGCUUAGAAGCAGCCAUCAUUUAAAGAGUGCGUAAUAGCUCACUAGUCGAGUGACACUGCGCCGAAAAUGUACCGGGGCUAAACAUAUUACCGAAGCUGUGGAUUGUCCUUUGGACAAUGGUAGGAGAGCGUUCUAAGGGCGUUGAAGCAUGAUCGUAAGGACAUGUGGAGCGCUUAGAAGUGAGAAUGCCGGUGUGAGUAGCGAAAGACGGGUGAGAAUCCCGUCCACCGAUUGACUAAGGUUUCCAGAGGAAGGCUCGUCCGCUCUGGGUUAGUCGGGUCCUAAGCUGAGGCCGACAGGCGUAGGCGAUGGAUAACAGGUUGAUAUUCCUGUACCACCUAUAAUCGUUUUAAUCGAUGGGGGGACGCAGUAGGAUAGGCGAAGCGUGCGAUUGGAUUGCACGUCUAAGCAGUAAGGCUGAGUAUUAGGCAAAUCCGGUACUCAUUAAGGCUGAGCUGUGAUGGGGAGAAGACAUUGUGUCUUCGAGUCGUUGAUUUCACACUGCCGAGAAAAGCCUCUAGAUAGAAAAUAGGUGCCCGUACCGCAAACCGACACAGGUAGUCAAGAUGAGAAUUCUAAGGUGAGCGAGCGAACUCUCGUUAAGGAACUCGGCAAAAUGACCCCGUAACUUCGGGAGAAGGGGUGCUCUUUAGGGUUAACGCCCAGAAGAGCCGCAGUGAAUAGGCCCAAGCGACUGUUUAUCAAAAACACAGGUCUCUGCUAAACCGUAAGGUGAUGUAUAGGGGCUGACGCCUGCCCGGUGCUGGAAGGUUAAGAGGAGUGGUUAGCUUCUGCGAAGCUACGAAUCGAAGCCCCAGUAAACGGCGGCCGUAACUAUAACGGUCCUAAGGUAGCGAAAUUCCUUGUCGGG